AAAUAGACAAACCCGGAGUUUCCGUGUCCAACGUUUGACCGUCCGUCUUAUUUGAAAAAAUUAUGAAAGAAAUUAAAAAGACAAGUCACACAUAAAGUAUUAAUCAUGUUUUAUCAUCUAACAAUAAUAAAAAUACUAAUUAUAAGAAAAUUUCAUAUAAGAAGGACAGUCAAACGUUGGACACGGAAACCUAGGGUUUGUCUUUUU
rfam:Oryza nivara chromosome 2, whole genome shotgun sequence.